UACAGAGGUCUCAAGCGUUGUUCGGAUUCAUUGGGCGUAAAGGGUGCGUAGGCGGCGCGGUAAGUCGGGUGUGAAAUCUCGGAGCUUAACUCCGAAACUGCAUUCGAUACUGCCGUGCUUGAGGACUGGAGAGGAGACUGGAAUUUACGGUGUAGCGGUGAAAUGCGUAGAUAUCGUAAGGAAGACCAGUGGCGAAGGCGGGUCUCUGGUUCAAUACUGACACUGAGAUGCGAAAGCGUGGGGAGCGAACGGG
rnacentral:rRNA from 1 species